rnacentral:lncRNA from 1 species
GGAAUCAGCUGCCGUUAAAGGUAUUUUGUCCUGUAGGAGAUGGUAACUGAGGUUGGGGCUUUGAAUGAAUACUUUGCUCAAGGCAUUCAAUAUCACCUUGAAACAUGAAUGUCAAAACAUAGUACAUCUGACUGCUCCUUGGAUAACCAUCCAUGUCAAAUGUCACUUGUUUUGAUACAGGUACAAAACUACUUGGCCUUUCCAAGGCCUGAUGCAUCCCUGGAAAGAAACCUGGAGGCUUUAUUUAUUUGCAGGCCAUACGUCAUCUUUCAAUAGGAAAAAUAGUAAAUUUGGGAUUUAAUAGUCCAAACAGUGACAUAUAAAAUAAAAAAAUCAGGAUAAUUUUG